UUGCUUAAGCCAAGAGCAACAUUUGACCCAUUUUGGUACCCAGACAUGUCCUCUAUCACAUCCAUGGCAUCGUCACACUUGGACCUUUGUGAGAGGAUCGUUCUUUAACGACCCCUUGGCUGGAAUCAUUUGGAUCGUUAGGAUAUAUGCCAAGACAAACAAUAGCACUCUGAUGCUACGACAAGUGUGAAGCGAUCGUCUGGGAGAAGUGGUUGCAGCUCUACUCAUAUUGAAAGCAGGUGCCUUUGCUUUGCAACAUGACGCCACUGUACCUUGUCCAGGCAUUUGACUACCUUAAUUCUGAGGGUUUUGUCCAUCUUUCAGCACCAGGUGGGUUGACCCUUUCUUCCAAUCCAAGGAAUGAUGUUUUACAAAGUUUGUCUUGUAACGUUGGAUCAGGUCAUGACACUGUGCAUUUUCAAAUCUCAGUCUAAAGUAUGUAGCCUCUUAACAUGGUGGAUGUCAGGGUAUUAAGUGAACAGAGUGGGCUCGUCCGGGAUUUGAAACCGGGACCUCUCGCACCCAAAGCGAGAAUCAUACCCCUAGAACAACGAGCCACAAUCUGGGCUGAGAAAAUGAUGGAGCAACUCUGGGGGUGGAAUGAAAACAGCUCCUCAGUCCUCUAAAUCAACGCAAAAGACUUUUGCGCGCUCAACUGCUCAUUAUGCACUUCCAACGCUACAACUGUAUGAAAUGUGUCCGUAAUUUGCGUAUCUGGUCUAAGAUCAUGCAUUCGUCCUGCUUUUUGCCUGAAAAGGUGCUCACAGCAUGCUGAUCAGGACAGAUAUUUGCCAGAAAAUGAUUGUGUUUUCCAGAGAAACAUAUUUCAUGGAGACCCUGUAGAGGCCUUCAUUUCUGUGCCCCACAUGAUAAAUGUACACAGACAAAGAUUUAAGUCCCAUUUCAACAGGUGGGGGCUCGUCCGGGAUUUGAACCCGGGACCUCUCACACCCGAAGCAAGAAUCAUGCCCCUAGACCAACGAGCCACCAGAGGCUGGUUUGCAGGGGGACAAAAUGGACCAACAUCCGUUUGGACAAAAGGCAUGAAGUUGAAGAUGAUUUUGACACUGGAAAGUUUGCCAGCCAGCAUUGUUAUAAGUUGCAGACAAUUUGAUGGUUGGGUGGGACUGACAGAGAGGCACUUGGGAGACAUGCACUUGUGCAUCUGACUGUUGAAACCGUUUGUGCCAAUGACCUCCUACUCCUUCCACAUGUGACGGGCUCGUCCGGGAUUUGAACCCGGGACCUCUCGCACCCUAAGCGAGAAUCAUACCCCUAGACCAACGAGCCACAAUCUUUCGCAACAAAGACAACUCUAGCAGAGAUCCAUUUGAUCCAAAAUCCUCACGCAGACCCCUAGCUUUCACUUUCAAAGUCUUGGCUUACUGAAAUGCAAACUGAAAGGGUUCACACACAGCUGCAAAUGAGAAAAAGGAGGCUUGGAUCUGUACUAAAUCAUCAAAGUGGAUGCACACAGCUACAGGCUAAGAGCCCGUUGCUUAAACCAAGAGCAACAUUUGACCCAUUUUGGUACCCAGACAUGUCCUCUAUCACAUCCAUGGCAUCGUCACACUUGGACCUUUGUGAGAGGAUCGUUCUUUAACGACCCCUUGGCUGGGAUCAUUUGGAUCGUUAGGAUAUAUGCCAAGACAAACAAUAGCACUCUGAUGCUACGACAAGUGUGAAGCGAUCGUCUGGGAGAAGUGGUUGCAGCUCUACUCAUAUUGAAAGCAGGUGCCUUUGCUUUGCAACAUGACGCCACUGUACCUUGUCCAGGCAUUUGACUACCUUAAUUCUGAGAGUUUUGUCCAUCUUUCAGCACCAGGUGGGUUGACCCUUUCUUCCAAUCCAAGGAAUGAUGUUUAACAAAGUUUGUCUUGUAACAUUGGAUUAGGUCAUGAUACUGUGCAUUUUCAAAUCUCAGUCUAAAGUAUGUAGCCUCUUGACAUGGUGGAUGUCAGGGUAUUAAGUGAACAGAGUGGGCUCGUCCGGGAUUUGAACCCGGGACCUCUCGCACCCAAAGCGAGAAUCAUACCCCUAGACCAACGAGCCACAAUCUGGGCUGAGAAAAUGAUGGAGCAACUCUGGGGGUGGAAUGAAAACAGCUCCUCAGUCCUCUAAAUCAACGCAAAAGACUUUUGCGCGCUCAACUGCUCAUUAUGCACUUCCAACGCUACAACUGUAUGAAAUGUGUCCGUAAUUUGCGUAUCUGGUCUGAGAUUAUGCAUUCGUCCUGCUUUUUGCCUGAAAAGGUGCUCACAGCAUGCUGAUCAGGACAGAUAUUUGCCAGAAAAUGAUUGUGUUUUCCAGAGAAACAUAUUUCAUGGAGACCCUGUAGAGGCCUUCAUUUUUGUGCCCCACAUGAUAAAUGUACACAGACAAAGUUUAAGUCCCAUUUCAACAGGUGGGGGCUCGUCCGGGAUUUGAACCCGGGACCUCUCACACCCGAAGCAAGAAUCAUGCCCCUAGACCAACGAGCCACCAGAGGCUGGUUUGCAGGGGGACAAAAUGGACCAAUAUCCGUUUGGACAAAAGGCAUGAAGUUGAAGAUGAUUUUGACACUGGAAAGUUUGCCAGCCAGCAUUGUUAUAAGUUGCAGACAAUUUGAUGGUUGGGUGGGACUGACAGAGAGGCACUUGGGAGACAUGCACUUGUGCAUCUGACUGUUGAAACCGUUUGUGCCAAUGACCUCCUACUCCUUCCACAUGUGACGGGCUCGUCCGGGAUUUGAACCCGGGACCUCUCGCACCCUAAGGGAGAAUCAUACCCCUAGACCAACGAGCCACAAUCUCUCGCAACAAAGACAACUCUAGCAGAGUUCCAUUUGAUCCAAAAUCCUCACGCAGACCCCUAGCUUUCACUUUCAAAGUCUUGGCUUACUGAAAUGCAAACUGAAAGGGUUCACACACAGCUGCAAAUGAGAAAAAGGAGGCUUGGAUCUGCACUAAAUCAUCAAAGUGGAUGCACACAGCUACAGGCUAAGAGCCCGUUGCUUAAGCCAAGAGCAACAUUUGACCCAUUUUGGUACCCAGACAUGUCCUCUAUCACAUCCAUGGCAUCGUCACACUUGGACCUUUGUGAGAGGAUCGUUCUUUAACGACCCCUUGGCUGGGAUCAUUUGGAUCGUUAGGAUAUAUGCCAAGACAAACAAUAGCACUCUGAUGCUACGACAAGUGUGAAGCGAUCGUCUGGGAGAAGUGGUUGCAGCUCUACUCAUAUUGAAAGCAGGUGCCUUUGCUUUGCAACAUGACGCCACUGUACCUUGUCCAGGCAUUUGACUACCUUAAUUCUGAGAGUUUUGUCCAUCUUUCAGCACCAGGUGGGUUGACCCUUUCUUCCAAUCCAAGGAAUGAUGUUUUACAAAGUUUGUCUUGUAACGUUGGAUCAGGUCAUGACACUGUGCAUUUUCAAAUCUCAGUCUAAAGUAUGUAGCCUCUUAACAUGGUGGAUGUCAGGGUAUUAAGUGAACAGAGUGGGCUCGUCCGGGAUUUGAACCCGGGACCUCUCGCACCCAAAGCGAGAAUCAUACCCCUAGACCAACGAGCCACAAUCUGGGUUGAGAAAAUGAUGGAGCAACUCUGGGGGUGGAAUGAAAACAGCUCUUCAGUCCUCUAAAUCAACGCAAAAGACUUUUGCGCGCUCAACUGCUCAUUAUGCACUUCCCACUCUACAACUGUAUGAAAUGUGUCCGUAAUUUGCGUAUCUGGUCUAAGAUCAUGCAUUCGUCCUGCUUUUUGCCUGAAAAGGUGCUCACAGCAUGCUGAUCAGGACAGAUAUUUGCCAGAAAAUGAUUGUGUUUUCCAGAGAAACAUAUUUCAUGGAGACCCUGUAGAGGCCUUCAUUUUUGUGCCCCACAUGAUAAAUGUACACAGACAAAGAUUUAAGUCCCAUUUCAACAGGUGGGGGCUCGUCCGGGAUUUGAACCCGGGACCUCUCACACCCGAAGCAAGAAUCAUGCCCCUAGACCAACGAGCCACCAGAGGCUGGUUUGCAGGGGGACAAAAUGGACCAACAUCCGUUUGGACAAAAGGCAUGAAGUUGAAGAUGAUUUUGACACUGGAAAGUUUGCCAGCCAGCAUUGUUAUAAGUUGCAGACAAUUUGAUGGUUGGGUGGGACUGACAGAGAGGCACUUGGGAGACAUGCACUUGUGCAUCUGACUGUUGAAACCGUUUGUGCCAAUGACCUCCUACUCCUUCCACAUGUGACGGGCUCGUCCGGGAUUUGAACCCGGGACCUCUCGCACCCUAAGCGAGAAUCAUACCCCUAGACCAACGAGCCACAAUCUCUCGCAACAAAGACAACUCUAGCAGAGUUCCAUUUGAUCCAAAAUCCUCACGCAGACCCCUAGCUUUCACUUUCAAAGUCUUGGCUUACUGAAAUGCAAACUGAAAGGGUUCACACACAGCUGCAAAUGAGAAAAAGGAGGCUUGGAUCUGCACUAAAUCAUCAAAGUGGAUGCACACAGCUACAGGCUAAGAGCCCGUUGCUUAAGCCAAGAGCAACAUUUGACCCAUUUUGGUACCCAGACAUGUCCUCUAUCACAUCCAUGGCAUCGUCACACUUGGACCUUUGUGAGAGGAUCGUUCUUUAACGACCCAUUGGCUGGAAUCAUUUGGAUCGUUAGGAUAUAUGCCAAGACAAACAAUAGCACUCUGAUGCUACGACAAGUGUGAAGCGAUCGUCUGGGAGAAGUGGUUGCAGCUCUACUCAUAUUGAAAGCAGGUGCCUUUGCUUUGCAACAUGACGCCACUGUACCUUGUCCAGGCAUUUGACUACCUUAAUUCUGAGAGUUUUGUCCAUCUUUCAGCACCAGGUGGGUUGACCCUUUCUUCCAAUCCAAGGAAUGAUGUUUUACAAAGUUUGUCUUGUAACGUUGGAUCAGGUCAUGACACUGUGCAUUUUCAAAUCUCAGUCUAAAGUAUGUAGCCUCUUAACAUGGUGGAUGUCAGGGUAUUAAGUGAAUAGAGAGGGCUCGUCCGGGAUUUGAACCCGGGACCUCUCGCACCCAAAGCGAGAAUCAUACCCCUAGACCAACGAGCCACAAUCUGGGCUGAGAAAAUGAUGGAGCAACUCUGGGGGUGGAAUGAAAACAGCUCCUCAGUCCUCUAAAUCAACGCAAAAGACUUUUGCGCGCUCAACUGCUCAUUAUGCACUUCCAACGCUACAACUGUAUGAAAUGUGUCCGUAAUUUGCGUAUCUGGUCUAAGAUCAUGCAUUCGUCCUGCUUUUUGCCUGAAAAGGUGCUCACAGCAUGCUGAUCAGGACAGAUAUUUGCCAGAAAAUGAUUGUGUUUUCCAGAGAAACAUAUUUCAUGGAGACCCUGUAGAGGCCUUCAUUUUUGUGCCCCACAUGAUAAAUGUACACAGACAAAGAUUUAAGUCCCAUUUCAACAGGUGGGGGCUCGUCCGGGAUUUGAACCCGGGACCUCUCACACCCGAAGCAAGAAUCAUGCCCCUAGACCAACGAGCCACCAGAGGCUGGUUUGCAGGGGGACAAAAUGGACCAAUAUCCGUUUGGACAAAAGGCAUGAAGUUGAAGAUGAUUUUGACACUGGAAAGUUUGCCAGCCAGCAUUGUUAUAAGUUGCAGACAAUUUGAUGGUUGGGUGGGACUGACAGAGAGGCACUUGGGAGACACGCACUUGUGCAUCUGACUGUUGAAACCGUUUGUGCCAAUGACCUCCUACUCCUUCCACAUGUGACGGGCUCGUCCGGGAUUUGAACCCGGGACCUCUCGCACCCUAAGCGAGAAUCAUACCCCUAGACCAACGAGCCACAAUCUCUCGCAACAAAGACAACUCUAGCAGAGUUCCAUUUGAUCCAAAAUCCUCACGCAGACCCCUAGCUUUCACUUUCAAAGUCUUGGCUUACUGAAAUGCAAACUGAAAGGGUUCACACACAGCUGCAAAUGAGAAAAAGGAGGCUUGGAUCUGCACUAAAUCAUCAAAGUGGAUGCACACAGCUACAGGCUAAGAGCCCGUUGCUUAAGCCAAGAGCAACAUUUGACCCAUUUUGGUACCCAGACAUGUCCUCUAUCACAUCCAUGGCAUCGUCACACUUGGACCUUUGUGAGAGGAUCGUUCUUUAACGACCCCUUGGCUGGAAUCAUUUGGAUCGUUAGGAUAUAUGCCAAGACAAACAAUAGCACUCUGAUGCUACGACAAGUGUGAAGCGAUCGUCUGGGAGAAGUGGUUGCAGCUCUACUCAUAUUGAAAGCAGGUGCCUUUGCUUUGCAACAUGACGCCACUGUACCUUGUCCAGGCAUUUGACUACCUUAAUUCUGAGGGUUUUGUCCAUCUUUCAGCACCAGGUGGGUUGACCCUUUCUUCCAAUCCAAGGAAUGAUGUUUUACAAAGUUUGUCUUGUAACGUUGGAUCAGGUCAUGACACUGUGCAUUUUCAAAUCUCAGUCUAAAGUAUGUAGUCUCUUAACAUGGUGGAUGUCAGGGUAUUAAGUGAACAGAGUGGGCUCGUCCGGGAUUUGAAACCGGGACCUCUCGCACCCAAAGCGAGAAUCAUACCCCUAGAACAACGAGCCACAAUCUGGGCUGAGAAAAUGAUGGAGCAACUCUGGGGGUGGAAUGAAAACAGCUCCUCAGUCCUCUAAAUCAACGCAAAAGACUUUUGCGCGCUCAACUGCUCAUUAUGCACUUCCAACGCUACAACUGUAUGAAAUGUGUCCGUAAUUUGCGUAUCUGGUCUAAGAUCAUGCAUUCGUCCUGCUUUUUGCCUGAAAAGGUGCUCACAGCAUGCUGAUCAGGACAGAUAUUUGCCAGAAAAUGAUUGUGUUUUCCAGAGAAACAUAUUUCAUGGAGACCCUGUAGAGGCCUUCAUUUCUGUGCCCCACAUGAUAAAUGUACACAGACAAAGAUUUAAGUCCCAUUUCAACAGGUGGGGGCUCGUCCGGGAUUUGAACCCGGGACCUCUCACACCCGAAGCAAGAUUUAUGCCCCUAGACCAACGAACCACCAGAGGCUGGUUUGCAGGGGGACAAAAUGGACCAAUAUCCGUUUGGACAAAAGGCAUGAAGUUGAAGAUGAUUUUGACACUGGAAAGUUUGCCAGCCAGUAUUGUUAUAAGUUGCAGACAAUUUGAUGGUUGGGUGGGACUGACAGAGAGGCACUUGGGAGACAUGCACUUGUGCAUCUGACUGUUGAAACCGUUUGUGCCAAUGACCUCCUACUCCUUGCACAUGUGACGGGCUCGUCCGGGAUUUGAACCCGGGACCUCUCGCACCCUAAGCGAGAAUCAUACCCCUAGACCAACGAGCCACAAUCUCUCGCAACAAAGACAACUCUAGCAGAGUUCCAUUUGAUCCAAAAUCCUCACGCAGACCCCUAGCUUUCACUUUCAAAGUCUUGGCUUACUGAAAUGCAAACUGAAAGGGUUCACACACAGCUGCAAAUGAGAAAAAGGAGGCUUGGAUCUGCACUAAAUCAUCAAAGUGGAUGCACACAGCUACAGGCUAAGAGCCCGUUGCUUAAGCCAAGAGCAACAUUUGACCCGUUUUGGUACCCAGACAUGUCCUCUAUCACAUCCAUGGCAUCGUCACACUUGGACCUUUGUGAGAGGAUCGUUCUUUAACGACCCAUUGGCUGGAAUCAUUUGGAUCGUUAGGAUAUAUGCCAAGACAAACAAUAGCACUCUGAUGCUACGACAAGUGUGAAGCGAUCGUCUGGGAGAAGUGGUUGCAGCUCUACUCAUAUUGAAAGCAGGUGCCUUUGCUUUGCAACAUGACGCCACUGUACCUUGUCCAGGCAUUUGACUACCUUAAUUCUGAGAGUUUUGUCCAUCUUUCAGCACCAGGUGGGUUGACCCUUUCUUCCAAUCCAAGGAAUGAUGUUUUACAAAGUUUGUCUUGUAACGUUGGAUCAGGUCAUGACACUGUGCAUUUUCAAAUCUCAGUCUAAAGUAUGUAGCCUCUUAACAUGGUGGAUGUCAGGGUAUUAAGUGAAUAGAGAGGGCUCGUCCGGGAUUUGAACCCGGGACCUCUCGCACCCAAAGCGAGAAUCAUACCCCUAGACCAACGAGCCAAAUCUGGGCUGAGAAAAUGAUGGAGCAACUCUGGGGGUGGAAUGAAAACAGCUCCUCAGUCCUCUAAAUCAACGCAAAAGACUUUUGUGCGCUCAACUGCUCAUUAUGCACUUCCAACGCUACAACUGUAUGAAAUGUGUCCGUAAUUUGCGUAUCUGGUCUAAGAUCAUGCAUUCGUCCUGCUUUUUGCCUGAAAAGGUGCUCACAGCAUGCUGAUCAGGACAGAUAUUUGCCAGAAAAUGAUUGUGUUUUCCAGAGAAACAUAUUUCAUGGAGACCCUGUAGAGGCCUUCAUUUUUGUGCCCCACAUGAUAAAUGUACACAGACAAAGAUUUAAGUCCCAUUUCAACAGGUGGGGGCUCGUCCGGGAUUUGAACCCGGGACCUCUCACACCCGAAGCAAGAAUCAUGCCCCUAGACCAACGAGCCACCAGAGGCUGGUUUGCAGGGGGACAAAAUGGACCAAUAUCCGUUUGGACAAAAGGCAUGAAGUUGAAGAUGAUUUUGACACUGGAAAGUUUGCCAGCCAGCAUUGUUAUAAGUUGCAGACAAUUUGAUGGUUGGGUGGGACUGACAGAGAGGCACUUGGGAGACACGCACUUGUGCAUCUGACUGUUGAAACCGUUUGUGCCAAUGACCUCCUACUCCUUCCACAUGUGACGGGCUCGUCCGGGAUUUGAACCCGGGACCUCUCGCACCCUAAGCGAGAAUCAUACCCCUAGACCAACGAGCCACAAUCUCUCGCAACAAAGACAACUCUAGCAGAGUUCCAUUUGAUCCAAAAUCCUCACGCAGACCCCUAGCUUUCACUUUCAAAGUCUUGGCUUACUGAAAUGCAAACUGAAAGGGUUCACACACAGCUGCAAAUGAGAAAAAGGAGGCUUGGAUCUGCACUAAAUCAUCAAAGUGGAUGCACACAGCUACAGGCUAAGAGCCCGUUGCUUAAGCCAAGAGCAACAUUUGACCCGUUUUGGUACCCAGACAUGUCCUCUAUCACAUCCAUGGCAUCGUCACACUUGGACCUUUGUGAGAGGAUCGUUCUUUAACGACCCAUUGGCUGGAAUCAUUUGGAUCGUUAGGAUAUAUGCCAAGACAAACAAUAGCACUCUGAUGCUACGACAAGUGUGAAGCGAUCGUCUGGGAGAAGUGGUUGCAGCUCUACUCAUAUUGAAAGCAGGUGCCUUUGCUUUGCAACAUGACGCCACUGUACCUUGUCCAGGCAUUUGACUACAUUAAUUCUGAGAGUUUUGUCCAUCUUUCAGCACCAGGUGGGUUGACCCUUUCUUCCAAUCCAAGGAAUGAUGUUUUACAAAGUUUGUCUUGUAACGUUGGAUCAGGUCAUGACACUGUGCAUUUUCAAAUCUCAGUCUAAAGUAUGUAGCCUCUUAACAUGGUGGAUGUCAGGGUAUUAAGUGAAAUAGAGAGGGCUCGUCCGGGAUUUGAACCCGGGACCUCUCGCACCCAAAGCGAGAAUCAUACCCCUAGACCAACGAGCCACAAUCUGGGCUGAGAAAAUGAUGGAGCAACUCUGGGGGUGGAAUGAAAACAGCUCCUCAGUCCUCUAAAUCAACGCAAAAGACUUUUGCGCGCUCAACUGCUCAUUAUGCACUUCCAACGCUACAACUGUAUGAAAUGUGUCCGUAAUUUGCGUAUCUGGUCUAAGAUCAUGCAUUCGUCCUGCUUUUUGCCUGAAAAGGUGCUCACAGCAUGCUGAUCAGGACAGAUAUUUGCCAGAAAAUGAUUGUGUUUUCCAGAGAAACAUAUUUCAUGAAGACCCUGUAGAGGCCUUCAUUUUUGUGCCCCACAUGAUAAAUGUACACAGACAAAGAUUUAAGUCCCAUUUCAACAGGUGGGGGCUCGUCCGGGAUUUGAACCCGGGACCUCUCACACCCGAAGCAAGAAUCAUGCCCCUAGACCAACGAGCCACCAGAGGCUGGUUUGCAGGGGGACAAAAUGGACCAAUAUCCGUUUGGACAAAAGGCAUGAAGUUGAAGAUGAUUUUGACACUGGAAAGUUUGCCAGCCAGCAUUGUUAUAAGUUGCAGACAAUUUGAUGGUUGAGUGGGACUGACAGAGAGGCACUUGGGAGACAUGCACUUGUGCAUCUGACUGUUGAAACCGUUUGUGCCAAUGACCUCCUACUCCUUCCACAUGUGACGGGCUCGUCCGGGAUUUGAACCCGGGACCUCUCGCACCCUAAGCGAGAAUCAUACCCC
rnacentral:lncRNA from 1 species